UACGUAGGGGGCGAGCGUUGUCCGGAAUCAUUGGGCGUAAAGCGCGUGUAGGCGGCCCGGUAAGUCCGCUGUGAAAGUCCAGGGCUCAACCCUGGGAUGCCGGUGGAUACUGUCGGGCUCGAGUCCGGAAGAGGCGAGUGGAAUUCCUGGUGUAGCGGUGAAAUGCGCAGAUAUCGGGAGGAACACCAAUGGCGAAGGCAGCUCGCUGGGACGUUACUGACGCUGAGACGCGAAAGCGUGGGGAGCAAACAGG
rnacentral:rRNA from 1 species